rnacentral:rRNA from 1 species
UACGGAGGGGGCUAGCGUUGUUCGGAAUUACUGGGCGUAAAGCGCGCGUAGGCGGCUUUGUAAGUUAGAGGUGAAAGCCCAGGGCUCAACCCUGGAAUUGCCUUUAAGACUGCAUCGCUUGAACAUCGGAGAGGUAAGUGGAAUUCCGAGUGUAGAGGUGAAAUUCGUAGAUAUUCGGAAGAACACCAGUGGCGAAGGCGACUUACUGGACGAUUGUUGACGCUGAGGUGCGAAAGCGUGGGGGAGCAAACAGG